CGCAUUGGAGCUGGCGGCAGGCCUACACAUGCAGUCGAGCGGAACGAGUUAUCUGAACCUUCGGGGAACGAUAACGGCGUCGAGCGGCGGACGGGUGAGUAAUGCCUAGGAAAUUGCCCUGAUGUGGGGGAUAACCAUUGGAAACGAUGGCUAAUACCGCAUAACGCCUACGGGCCAAAGAGGGGGACCUUCGGGCCUCUCGCGUCAGGAUAUGCCUAGGUGGGAUUAGCUAGUUGGUGAGGUAAUGGCUCACCAAGGCAACGAUCCCUAGCUGGUCUGAGAGGAUGAUCAGCCACACUGGAACUGAGACACGGUCCAGACUCCUACGGGAGGCAGCAGUGGGGAAUAUUGCACAAUGGGCGCAAGCCUGAUGCAGCCAUGCCGCGUGUGUGAAGAAGGCCUUCGGGUUGUAAAGCACUUUCAGUCGUGAGGAAGGUAGUGUAGUUAAUAGCUGCAUUAUUUGACGUUAGCGACAGAAGAAGCACCGGCUAACUCCGUGCCAGCAGCCGCGGUAAUACGGAGGGUGCGAGCGUUAAUCGGAAUUACUGGGCGUAAAGCGCAUGCAGGUGGUUUGUUAAGUCAGAUGUGAAAGCCCGGGGCUCAACCUCGGAAUUGCAUUUGAAACUGGCAGACUAGAGUACUGUAGAGGGGGUAGAAUUUCAGUGUAGCGGUGAAAUGCGUAGAGAUCUGAAGGAAUACCGGUGGCGAAGCGGUCCCUGGACAGAUACUGACACUCAGAUGCGAAGCGUGGGGAGCAAACAGAUUAGAUACCCUGGUAGUCCACGCCGUAACGAUGUCUACUUGGAAGUUGUGGCCUUGAGCCGUGCCUUCCGAGCUUACGCGUAGUAGACCGCUAGGGAGUACCGUCGCAGAUUACACUCAAUGAAUGACGGAAGGCG
rnacentral:rRNA from 1 species